ensembl:lncRNA
AGGGCAACAGUGAAUGUGAAGGGUUCCAUGUGCCCCUCCCCACCCACUCUGGUUUUCCUGGCCAAGAAAGCAAUUCUUUCAUUCUUCAUGAUGGAUCAACCAUCUUGGAAAAUGAGAGUGACUCAGAAGAUUGUCAACCACCACGGACACCGCCCCGCGGGGGACUGUGGGUCUCCGGACGGCCACGCAUGUGCAGAAUUAAGGAACAGAUGGGUCCUACCUGUUGCUGACUUCCAGGUUCACUCAGAAGCCUUGAGCUCCCCCUGCACACAUGGUGUUGGGGUCACAAAGGGGUGGGAUGCCCACGUGAAAACAAGAAGUGCAUCCAGGCCAAGGGGCUGUGCAGAGGCGGGCAUGGACGAUGCCAGAACUGUCCACAGGGUGCAGGACCAAGGAUGCAACUGACUUUGGUCAGUUUUGGGGCCUCCUGCACUUGGCUCCUUUGGGGGUUUCAGGGUUCUCAGGGCUGAUGGGUCCCGCAUGAAGAGAGUCAUGACUGCAUUCUGUCCACCUGUGGGUUUUCACACAGGCCCGGCGCCCAGCUGCCUCUUGGCCCAGUCUUCAUCUUGGGCUACCCGCGGUACCCUGAAAACACACAAGACAGGGAAGAUGCGUUAACUCGGCUUCUCCCCACAGAACACGGCUCGCCAUUGCAGCCGUGAUUAAAUACAGGACAUUAUCUCACCAUAAUGCCCUCCUGGCCGUGUUCCCAGGAAAAUUCUAACUAAUCAUAAAAAUAGAAAGAAAAACGCAACCUAAAUUCCAUUCCUCUUCUUAAAUGAGUGAUGUGUUCACUUUUAUUUAUUUUUCUGGAAGCGAGGCGGGAAAAGAAAAUGAAUUUUAGGGCUUAGAAAAACAAGCUACUAAUAGUACUAAGUAGAGCAGGGUGGUGGUGCAGACAGCGGGAUGUAGCGGACAGGCCAGGGGCAGGUCCGGCCCUACCCCUGCCUGUGAGCCUGGAGCUUUAAAUGGGAGCACCUCGUGGAGCAAAGACAGCAGGAGGAGAGGAGGUUGGGUGGCUGUGGGGCCAGGUGUAGGCAUACAUGCACACAGACGCACGCACCCCACAAGCGAGGUGCUCAGCAGCAUCUUCACGGCCUGGCAGGCAAGCACAAAGUCAAUGCUCCUUUCACCCAAAGCCUGCAUCUUUCUCUAGCACCAUCCUUUCUGGAGGCUCUGGCGUGAUUUGGCUAGUCCCUGCCUGAAAGAGUUUCUCCUGGAGAUUCACCUA